rnacentral:rRNA from 1 species
CUAUACAUGACUCUGCGCAUAUCAAUAAGCGGAGGAAAAGAAACUAACAAGGAUUCCCUUAGUAACGGCGAGUGAAGCGGGAAGAGCUCAAAUUUGAAAUCUUCAAGGUUCUACCUUGACGAAUUGUAGUUUAUAGAAGUGUUUUCUGUUAGUAGAGUGGCAAAAGUUCUUUGGAAUAGGACAUCAUAGAGGGUGAGAAUCCCGUAUUUGGUCAUUCUUUCUAGCUUUGUGAUACACUUUCAACGAGUCGGAUUGUUUGGGAAUGCAGUCCAAAAUGGGUGGUAAAUUUCAUCUAAAGCUAAAUAUUGGCGAGAGACCGAUAGCGAACAAGUACCGUGAGGGAAAGAUGAAAAGAACUUUGAAAAGAGAGUUAAACAGUACGUGAAAUUGUCAAAAGGGAAGCGUUUGACACCAGUGUUGUUUUUCCGAAAAUCAAUUAUGAAUGUCUUGAUUUUGAGGAGUUCAUGACCUUAAUAGGCUUGUUGCUUAUUUUACUUGAAUCUUUUUAAUGCACUUUUCGGUUAACAAGUCAACAUCAAUUUCUUUUGUUGUAAAAGAGUCAUUGAGGAAGGUGGCUUUUCUUUCGGAGAAAGUGUUUAUAGCCUUGUGCUUCUGCAAUCGGAGAGAUUGAGGUCUGCAGCGUAGAUCCUUCGGGGUUAGAUACAUUUGUGCUAAGCUAUAGUUCUUUAUAGACAACUUGUUGACUAUAGUCUAGUCUGUAGCUUACUCGCUUAUGCUAUUUUACCUACGCUUAGGAUGUUGAUAUGCAUGACUGAUAU